rnacentral:rRNA from 1 species
GAUCAUGGCUCAGGAUGAACGCUGGCGGCGUGCUUAACACAUGCAAGUCGAACGAAGCACUUUAUUUGAUCUCUUCGGAGUGAUUGUUUUGUGACUGAGUGGCGGACGGGUGAGUAACGCGUGGGCAACCUGCCUCAUACAGGGGGAUAACAGUUGGAAACGACUGCUAAUACCGCAUAAGCGCACAGGGUCGCAUGACCUGGUGUGAAAAACUCCGGUGGU